rnacentral:rRNA from 1 species
UACGGGGGGGGCAAGCGUUGUUCGGAAUUACUGGGCGUAAAGGGCUCGUAGGCGGCCAACUAAGUCAGACGCGAAAUCCCUCGGCUUAACCGGGGAACUGCGUCUGAUACUGGAUGGCUUGAGUUUGGGAGAGGGAUGCGGAAUUCCAGGUGUAGCGGUGAAAUGCGUAGAUAUCUGGAGGAACACCGGUGGCGAAGGCGACAUCCUGGACCAACACUGACGCUGAGGAGCGAAAGCCAGGGGAGCAAACGGG